rnacentral:rRNA from 2 species
CUGGUGUCAGCCGCCGCGGUAAUACCAGCACCUCGAGUGGUCAGGACGUUUAUUGGGCCUAAAGCAUCCGUAGCCGGCUCUGCAAGUCUUCGGUUAAAUCCACCUGCUCAACAGAUGGGCUGCUGGAGAUACUACAGAGCUAGGGAGUGGGAGAGGCAGACGGUAUUCAGUGGGUAGGGGUAAAAUCCUCUGAUCCAUUGAGGACCACCAGUGGCGAAGGCGGUCUGCCAGAACACGUUCGACGGUGAGGGAUGAAAGCCGGGGGAGCAAACCGGAUUAGAUACCCGGGUAGUCCCAGCUGUAAACGAUGCAAACUCGGUGAUGCAUUGGCUUAUGGCCAAUGCAGUGCCGCAGGGAAGCCGUUAAGUUUGCCGCCUGGGAAGUACGGACGCAAGUCUGAAACUUAAAG